rnacentral:rRNA from 1 species
GAUGAACGCUGGCGGCGUGCCUAAUACAUGCAAGUCGAGCGAACAGACCCUGAGCUUGCUCCUCUGACGUUAGCGGCGGACGGGUGAGUAACACGUGUAUAACCUACCUAUAAGACUGGGAUAACCUCGGGAAACCGGAGCUAAUACCGGAUAAUAUAUUGAACCGCAUGGUUCAAUUGUGAAAGACGGUUUUGCUGUCACUUAUAGAUGGAUCCGCGCCGCAUUAGCUAGUUGGUAAGGUAACGGCUUUUCAAGGCAACGAUGCGUAGACGACCUGAGAGGGUGAUCGCCGACACGGGAACGGAGACGGGGACCAUGCUACUAAGGGAGGGAGCAGUAGCGAAUGUUCCGCAAUGGGCGAAGACUUGGCAGAGCAGCGCGGAGUGAGUGAUGAAGGUCUUCGGAGCGGAAAACUCUGUUAUUGGGGAAGAACAGAUUUGGAAGGAGAUAUGCACGGAUUGACGGUACCGAAUAAGAAAGCACCGGCUAACUACGUG